CAUUGAGAAGCUACACAGCAUUAACCUUUUAAGUUAAAGAUUGAGAGCAAAACCUCUCCUCAAUGA
rnacentral:tRNA from 1 species